AUGAGGAAUGAGGAAGGCCCCCUGACGGACGAUAUCACUUUCAUAGGAGUGCUUUCUGCUUGUGUGCACGCAGGGUUGCUGAAAGACGACCUGCGUUGGUUCAAUUCCUUGACAUCUGAGUUCCAAAUAGUUCCCAAGGUCGAGCACUACUCCUGCAUGGUUGAUUUAUUGGCACGUGCCGGACAUUUGGAAGAAGCAUGGGAUUUCACCGAGAAGAUCCCUAGUAAGGCAGACGCGGUGAUGUUGGGGGGCUUUCUUGCCGCUUGUCAGAAAUGCAAAAAUGUUGAGGUCGGUGCUAGGUUCAUCAACAUGAUCAUGCUACUGGAGCCCUCAAACUUGUGGAACUGCAUGGUUUCAUCCAAGAUAUAUGCAAGCUCAAAUAGAUUUGACGAAUCUGCAUGGAUGAGAGGGCUGAUGAGAGAGUGGUGUCAGCAAAAUUCCAGGUUGCAACUGGAUUGA
rnacentral:rRNA from 1 species